GAUGAACGCUGGCGGCGUGCCUAAUACAUGCAAGUCGAGCGAACAGACGAGGAUCUUGCGCCUCUGACGUUAGCGGCGGACGGGUGAGUAACACGUGGAGAACCUACCUAUAAGACUGGGAUAACUUCGGGAAACCGGAGCUAAUACCGGAUAAUAUAUUGAACCGCAUGGUUCAAUAGUGAAAGACGGUUUUGCUGUCACUUAUAGAUGGAUCCGCGCCGCAUUAGCUAGGUGGUAAGGUAACGGCUUACCAAGGCAACGAUGCGUAGCCGACCUGAGAGGGUGUUCGGCCCCACUGGAACUGGGACACGGUCCAGACUCCUACGGGAAGCAGCAGUAGGGUAUCUUCCGCAACGGGCGAGAGCCUGACGGAGCAACGCCGCGUGAGUGAUGAAGGUCUUCGGAUCGUAAAGCUCUGUUAUUAGGGAAGAACAAAUGUGUAAGUAACUAUGCACGUCUUGACGGUACCUAAUCAGAAAGCCACGGCUAACUACGUG
rnacentral:rRNA from 1 species